rnacentral:rRNA from 1 species
GACGAACGCUGGCGGCGUGCUUAACACAUGCAAGUCGAACGGAGUGGCGAACGGGUGAGUAACACGUGGGUGACCUGCCCUGCACUUCGGGAUAAGCCUGGGAAAAUGGGUCUAAUACCGGAUAGUGUGGGAUGGGCCCGCGGCCUAUCGGCUUGUUGGUGGGGUAAUGGCCUCCCAAGGCGGCGACGGGUAGCCGGCCUGGGAGGGUGGACGGCCACAUGGGGACUGAGGCACGGCCCAGGCUGCAACCGGGGGCAACAGUGGGGAAUAUUGCACAAUGGGGGGGAGCCUGAUGCAGGGGCGCCGGGGGGGGGAUGACCGCCUGCGGGGUGGAAACUCCUUUCACCAUCGACGCGGUAGAUGGAGAAGAAGCACCGGCUAACUACGUGCCAGCAGCCGCGGUAAUUC